AAACUUUCAACAACGGAUCUCUUGGUUCUGGCAUCGAUGAAGAACGCAGCGAAAUGCGAUACGUAAUGCGAAUUGCAGAAUUCAGCGAGUCAUCGAAUCUUUGAACGCACAUUGCGCCCGCCAGCAUUCUGGCGGGCAUGCCUGUCCGAGCGUCAUU
rnacentral:rRNA from 1 species